GACGAACGCUGGCGGCGUGCUUAACACAUGCAAGUCGAACGGAAAGGCCCUGCUUUUGUGGGGUGCUCGAGUGGCGAACGGGUGAGUAACACGUGAGUAACCUGCCCUUGACUUUGGGAUAACUUCAGGAAACUGGGGCUAAUACCGGAUAGGAGCUCCUGCUGCAUGGUGGGGGUUGGAAAGUUUCGGCGGUUGGGGAUGGACUCGCGGCUUAUCAGCUUGUUGGUGGGGUAGUGGCUUACCAAGGCUUUGACGGGUAGCCGGCCUGGGAGGGUGACCGGCCACAUUGGGACUGAGAUACGGCCCAGACUCCUACGGGAGGCAGCAGUGGGGAAUAUUGCACAAUGGGCGGAAGCCUGAUGCAGCAACGCCGCGUGCGGGAUGACGGCCUUCGGGUUGUAAACCGCUUUCGCCUGUGACGAAGCGUGAGUGACGGUAAUGGGGAAAGAAGCACCGGCUAACUACGU
rnacentral:rRNA from 1 species